UAAAUUGCUCCUUUGGUCAACGUGACCCGUAUUACUUCAUUUGUCGAUCGACAGUUCGCGAGGUGACACACGAAAAUGCAAUCAGUCAUUUAUUUCCACUUGGCAUAGUCUACCUUCAUUGGAAGAAUAGAGCAACGAAAAGCAGCCAUACUGCCCCGACGAACUCGAGGAUUUUCCACGUUGACCUCGAAUGGCGUCCAAAUUACUUUUGGCACCAAAAAUUUCCCGAGACUAGUCCUGCAUGGACGCGCACAGGAGUGGAGAGGAUGCGAACAAUGAAAUUGGCUGCCAAAAGCCUGUAGGGGGCAGCGUGAACGUCUGGUCGGAACUGCUCCGGCCGGAAGUUGACACUGCAGACGUAGAAGAUGAUUCGACUGUAUUCCACAUGCCUCUGCCUGUCGCGUUGCUGCCUAAACUUUGGUGAUAACUUUGCAACCGCCGCUGUUUCAAAGUUCAGUCUUCAACUUAUUGCUUCUAAUUGUAUUAUUGUCUAAAUAAUGCAGCCUAUUUAGAAUAGACGGCAGCACAAUCGGA
rnacentral:lncRNA from 1 species